UUCCUACGGGAGGCAGCAGUGGGGGAUAUUGCACAAUGGGGGAAACCCUGAUGCAGCGACGCCGCGUGAGUGAAGAAGUAUUUCGGUAUGUAAAGCUCUAUCGGCAGGGAAGAAAAAAAUGACAGUACCUGACUAAGAAGCCCCGGCUAACUACGUGCCAGCAGCCGCGGUAAUACGUAGGGGGCAAGCGUUAUCCGGAUUUACUGGGUGUAAAGGGAGCGUAGGGGGCAUGGUAAGCCAGAAGUGAAAACCCAGGGCUCAACUCUGUGGAUUGCUUUUGGGACUAUCAAGCUA
rnacentral:rRNA from 1 species